rnacentral:rRNA from 1 species
AUACGAAGGUCCCAAGCGUUAUUGGGAAUCACUGGGCGUAAAGAGUACGUAGGCGGUUUGGUAAGUCAGGUGUGAAAUCCCGGAGCUCAACUCCGGAACUGCAUCCGAUACUGCCAGACUUGAGUAAUGGAGAGGCAGGUGGAAUUCUCGGUGUAGCAGUGAAAUGCGUGGAUAUCGAGAGGAAGACCAAUGGCGAAGGCAGCCUGCUGGACAUUUACUGACGCUGAGGUACGAAGGCUAGGGGAGCGAAAGGGAUUAGAAACCCCAGUAGUCC